rnacentral:rRNA from 1 species
CGUAGGGUGCGAGCGUUGUCCGGAAUUACUGGGCGUAAGGAGCUCGUAGGUGGUUUGUCGCGUUGUCCGUGAAAACUCACAACUCAAUUGUGGGCGUGCGGGCGAUACGGGCAGACUGGAGUACUGCAGGGGAGACUGGAAUUCCUGGUGUAGCGGUGGAAUGCGCAGAUAUCAGGAGGAACGCCGGUGGCGAAGGCGGGUCUCUGGGCAGUAACUGACGCUGAGGAGCGAAAGCGUGGGGAGCGAACAGGAUAGAUACCCUGGUAGUCCACGCCGUAAACGGUGGGUACUAGGUGUGGGUUUCCUUCCUUGGGAUCCGUGCCGUAGCUAACGCAUUAAGUACCCCGCCUGGGGAGUACGGCCGCAAGGCUA